GCGCUCGUGGCGAAACUGGUAGACGCGCCGUCUUGAGAGGGCGGUGGGAGACCAUGCCGGUUCGACCCCGGCCGAGCGCA
rnacentral:tRNA from 1 species